AUGAUCUCUACAUCCCUACUGCUGCUGCUGCUGGCAGCCGUACACUGUGUUCACAGUGUUGAGCUGAUCCAGACCGGAUCCACAGUAUUAACUCCUGGUCAGUCACUGACUCUGACCUGUAAAGUGUCUGGAUAUUCAGUAACUGAUAGCAACUACUGUACAGACUGGAUACGACAACCUGCAGGAAAAACUCUGGAAUGGAUCGGAGAGAUAUGUGGUAGUGGGAGCACUGCCUACAUUGAGAAACUGAAAAGCCGGUUUCAGGUUUCCAGAGACACGUCCAGCAGCACAGUGACAUUAACAGGACAGAACAUGCAGACUGAAGACACAGCUGUGUAUUACUGCGCUCGUGAACCGCACAGUGAGGCGAAUAAACAACAUCCCUGUACAAAAACUCCUCAUUCAGUUUGACACAAUAACAGGACA